UACGAGGGGGGCAAGCGUUGUUCGGAAUUAUUGGGCGUAAAGGGCGCGUAGGCGGUUUGACAAGUCUGAUGUGAAAUCUAUGGGCUCAACCCAUAGCCUGCAUUAGAAACUGUCGGGCUUGAGUAUGGGAGAGGUGAGUGGAAUUUCCGGUGUAGCGGUGAAAUGCGUAGAUAUCGGAAGGAACACCUGUGGCGAAAGCGGCUCACUGGACCAUAACUGACGCUGAGGCGCGAAAGCUAGGAGAGCAAACAGG
rnacentral:rRNA from 1 species